AGAGCGAACGCUGGCGGCAGGCCUAAACAUGCAAGUCGAACGGAUCCUUCGGGAUUAGUGGCGGACGGGUGAGUAACACGUGGGAACGUGCCUUUUGGUUCGGAACAACUCAGGGAAACUUGAGCUAAUACCGAAUGUGCCCUUCGGGGGAAAGAUUUAUCGCCAUUAGAGCGGCCCGCGUCUGAUUAGCUAGUUGGUGAGGUAAAGGCUCACCAAGGCUACGAUCAGUAGCUGGUCUGAGAGGAUGAUCAGCCACACUGGGACUGAGACACGGCCCAGACUCCUACGGGAGGCAGCAGUUAGGAAUCUUGCGCAAUGGGCGAAAGCCUGACGCAGCCAUGCCGCGUGGGUGAAGAAGGCCUUCGGGUUGUAAAGCCCUUUUGUACGGGAAGAAAGCUUCGGGUUAACAACCGGGAGUCAUGACGGUACCGUAAGAAUAAGCACCGGCUAACUUCGUGCCAGCAGCCGC
rnacentral:rRNA from 1 species